ACACUUGCGCCCUGAGGAGUAGUUAAAAUUCAGCUUGAGGGGCACUUAGUGUCACAGAAGCCUAGAUAAAGAAACAAGAUUUCAGGCAGGAAGAAAUAAUAAAGAGGCAGGACUUCAAGUGUCCUGUGAAACACAACAUUCGGCCUCCGGCACACACAUCCGUGGGAGACGGCUCAACUUCUUUAUAAAGUGAGGAACCAAAUUGUGAAGACAUCUGUUCUGUUAUUAAUUUCACAUACAUCUUAAGCUCCUCAAGGCCAGAAAUGAGGCUUCAUUCACGUCGAAUUAAUGAAACAUGAUUGUCCAGAUGUCCAUCCAGGAAUAAACUCCACUGCAUGGAGCCCCAUGGUGAGACGGACUGCAGGCUUGCAGCCCCACACCUAUGCACCGGCAACGUGCCCCCAGGAACACAGGACCAACUCCAAAUUUGGGAAUGAAGAUAAUGUUCAGGGGAACACAGGACCAACUCCAAAUUUGGGAAUGAAGAUAAUGUUCAGCAGCUACAUUUUCACCCCAUCCCGGGCUCCAUGUUCCUGCUGCACACACAUCAAGAAUGCUGCUAAUUUCAGCGUCUGCCUUCCAGACCCAGACGUCAAAACAACUACCUUUCAUCUCAGCAAACUACUAUGUUGUGAGCAGCCCAAUGGAGAGGCCCACAAGACAACGAACUGAAGCCUCCAGCAACAACCCUGUGAGGCUGGAACUGCCCAUAAAGGCUGGCACCCCAGCAGCCACCUUGAGAAAUGCAGUGAUGAUGCUGAGUGGCAAGGCAGAAGGCACAGGGUCCCUGCACCUGAGGAUUGCUGCUCCAAACCUGGGCCACCAGCCUGAAGAUCCCGCCAGGGAGAAAUAAAGCUCUGUUUUGCUGAAGCCACUGCUAUUUUGGGGGUCUCAUCUCUUCCAGCUGAUUCUAACCUGAAAUUGAACCUUAAUUCAAUCUGGCUGAUCCAUGAACAACCAUCACGCCUUGUGCUCUGUGUCAGAUAGGUUUCUUAAGGGAGAAUGUCACUUACUGACAGUGAUUUGUCAACACCAAAGAGGAAAAAAUAUCAGAGAAAGGUAAGAGGGAGAACAAUAGAGAGAGAAAGAGAGACAGAGACAGAGGGGGAGAGAGAGAGAGAGAGAGAGAGAGAGAGAGAGAGAGAGAGCAGACUUGGUUUAAUUUCCUCUUUUCCCUUAUUACUUUCUGACAUUUUCUGACCUUAAUACCUUUGAAACUUAGCACUUCCCUCAGAAGCCUCCACUGUAAACAAAGCCCCAAGAUUUCCCUAUAAUUUUCCCCUCCCCAUUGGCCCAUCAGUCCCCAUGGGCUUCUGCUUACCAGGAUGCCCAACUAUUCCCCUGCAAACAUCCCCCUGCCCAGUGGGCCCUAACACUCACUAGUAGCAUUGCCUUUCCCCCUCUGUUCUGCCCUCCUCCAGAGGCUCCCCAUUCUCUGGAUCUAAUGUUGUCCCAGAAGUUUACCCCUCCCUGUCCCACCCAGGCGACCUCAAAUUCUCCUAGUGGCUUCCAAUGACCCAGUUGUGCCCAGAAGCUUCUCCCUAACAGCUUAGGCUGUCACAGCCUUCCAGAGGCCUCACCCAUCUUAGUAGGGUCUAUUGCUCCUGUUCCUUAAGCCCUAGCAGUCCCUCCACCCAGUAGGCCCUGAAACUGUAAUGCAGUCCUCUCAGGCUGAGGACCUGCUCUGUGCAAAGGCCUGAGAGGGAGGUGGAGAGAAGCCAGGCAGAGGCCAGAUAUAUUAGCAGUUUUCCUAGAACAGUUGCUAAAAUAGAGCAGACAGGGGCUAUGGGAGUUGAUCAAUAGAUAUUCAUUGAACAUCUACUUUGUGCUGCGAAUGAUUUCAGUCAUGAGGGACAUAGCAGACCAUAAAACAGAACAGGGGAAGCCUUCUUUAGAAGUGGUCCUGGUAUAUUUCUGUCAAUUGACAUAUAUUCACAAAUUCACGCAUCCACUUAAUACGUAUUUAUUGAGCUCCUUCUGUAUACGAGGCACUGUUCUUGUUGCUGAAAAUACAAAACUGAACAAAACAGAAAAGCUCCUGCCCUUGGGAGCUUAUGUUCUAGUAAGGAAAUGAAAUAAACAACAAACAGCGAGUGCCUUCAGUCUUAUGUUCCCAGAAGAAGAUGCUGAGACAAGGGUUGAAGUGCAGGUAAUUUAUUAAGAAAGAGCUCCCAGGAGAUAUCCAUAAGGGCAUAGGGAAACAGGGCAAGAGAGGGGGAAGAAGCCCAGCAAAGGUGCAGCUUCCCAAAGUCCCAACCUCUGCCUGAUCCUGUGGAGAGCUCUGGGGUAUAAAUUACAUCUCAGGGUCUGUCUGUCUUUGAAGCAGGGGUGUCAGGCUUUUAUACUCCCACAUCCAUUGGCUACAGGCUGGAGGGGUGAGGGGGAGUAAAUUUUGGGUACUUUUUCUCCUCUCUGCAUGCCAUGGGGACAAAGCAGCUGCAGAGGUUCAUGGGCCAGCACAGGAAGGAAGUUCCAGGUGUGAACCUUUUAGAAGUAAAAUACGUAGGGCCAGGUGUGGUGGCUCACGGCUGUAACCCAGCAUUUUGGGAGGCCGAGGGUGGUGGAUCACCUGAGGUCAGGAAUUCAAGACCAGCCUGGCCAACAUAGUGAAACUCCAUCUCUACUAAAAAUAUAAAAAUUAACCAGGUGUUGUGGUGCAUGCCUAUAAUCCCAGCUACUUGGGAGGCUGAGGCAGGAGAAUAACUUGAACCCGGAAGGCAGAGGUUGUAGCGAACUGAGAUCAUUCCACUGCACUCCAGCCUGGGCAACAAGAGAGAAACUCUGUCCCAAAAAAGGAGAAGGAGAAGGAGAAAGAGAAGGAGGAGUAGGGGAAAAUGUGUGUAGAGGCUGGGGGUGAGCACACAGAAUAAGUAAAAGGGACCUGAGGGAUGCAUCCAUGCAAUAGAUUAUCAUAAUAUGAUGACAGGUGUGAGAAGCAUUGAGGAUUUCACCACUCCUGACCCCUCCUCCAUGCACAGGGGCAUCCGGAGGAUCUCCAUGUCUCUAUUCCCCUUACCUUGCUCUGCCCCAAGGGAGGUGACUUGGCUGAUUGAUAAGGAUUCUAGGAGGAAUAAACUGAAUGUGAGCAGCUCUGUCCUGUCCUCAUUCCUUGUCUUAUUUUGGUCUCCUUAAAGACCUAGGGUACAGAAGGAAGGGCAGUGACUGGGGGAUUCCUUAGGAAACCAGCAUUCUGAAAAAUAAUG
rnacentral:lncRNA from 1 species